rnacentral:misc_RNA from 1 species
AAAAUGGAAAUAUGGGAGGUUUGAAAUCCAGGUUGUGGUAGUUUGAUGAGAUUUUGGCAACUAUUAAUUACUAACAAUACUAAUUUCAAAAACUUCCUAGUGCGUUAAUAUCAAAUUCUUGUAGAUCGAUAAAUUUUAAGUUGAGUGGUACUUCUUUUUAUCAAUGAAAGUGCUCGCCAAAGAUAGAAAUAAAUAAUGCACGCCUUUCUAGAGCCUUGCGCUUAGAGCAAGGGGCACGCCAAGGGAUAAGGCGAGAGCCUGGUGAAUGUCGCCUGCCUUUCUCGUGUAGAGGCGUUAGGGUUAGAGCCCGGUGAGCUUUGAGCCUGAGGCACGCCUUUAACACACACAGAUUGUAAGGUAUUCAGAUACAGAUUAGGCUAGCUCUCCUUUAGACAAACGGUCUACUUAGGGUAUUGCAUUCUAAUUUGAAGGGAAUUUGAUAUCUUAGAAAAGUAAGAAACAAGAUGUAGU